rnacentral:rRNA from 1 species
AACGUAGGAGGCGAGCGUUAUCCGGAGUUACUGGGCGUAAAGCGCGUGUAGGCGGCUGUUUAAGUGUGCUGUGAAAGGUCCCGGCUUAACCGGGAAAGUGCGGCGCAGACUGGACGGCUGGAGGAUGACAGAGGCAGGUAGAAUUCCGGGUGUAGUGGUGAAAUGCGUAGAGAUCCGGAGGAACACCGGUGGCGAAGGCGGCUUCCUGGACCGACACUGACGCUGAGGCGCGAAAGCUAGGGGAGCAAACGGG